rnacentral:tRNA from 1 species
GGAAAGAUGCCAGAGUGGUCGAAUGGACCGCACUCGAAAUGCGGCAAGCGGGUCACACUGCUUCCAGGGUUCGAAUCCCUGUCUUUCCG